rnacentral:lncRNA from 1 species
AGAAAAGAGUCGGUGGAAUGGGUGAAUAUGGUUUUGGGGAAGUUGUGGAAGGUUUAUAAGCCUGGGCUUGAGAAUUGGGUCAUUGGGUUGCUACAGCCAGUGAUUGAUAAUCUAAGGAAACCUGAUUACGUGGAGAGAGUUGAAAUUAAGCAGUUUUCGUUGGGAGAUGAGCCAUUCUUAGUUAGGAAUGUCGAGCGCAGAACCUCACGUGGUGUCAAUGAUCUCCAGUAAGUUUGAUAUCCUAGUCUUAUAAGACGAGAUUUAAUAUUUCGGCUCUUAUUUGCUGUUUUUCUAAAAAUCUGUUCUUAUAUGUUCAUAUUCUAGUCAGUAUAUAACUAUGUAAGUAUCUGGUCUAAUUAGCGGCUAAUCAUCGUCUCUGUGUAAUAAGCAUAUAUCACAUGGUGACAUAAUACGAAUCUUAAAUUGUAUUAGUACUUUUCUUCAUAGGUAUAAAAGAACAGAAGUUACCCCAUAAUUACAUGUAGAUAAUACUUAAGUCUAAACUAACAGUGUAUAUUCUACACAGAAUGCCACUAAUUUAAUCAUAAUGCAAGGAUCUAAUAAUUUCUUAAUGGAUCAAAGGCAACAGGAAGGAUGCUCUCUAUAUCAGUAGAGGAAAAUCCCGAGAAAAUCUAUAUUUUUUCUCGACAUCCAAAGCUGGAUUAUGCAAUGUGUAGUGUCAAGUUGUUAUGAUGUGUGGUGGAUGCAAAAGUGCAAGACAAUGUAAACAUUAACUCUCUGUGCAUACAUGCCUUUGGCAAUGAGGNAUUUUGAUGGUCUUGAAUAUGCCACCACCCACAUUCACAAUCUCAUCAAAUUCCCAUUUUCAUGGAGGCUGAAGUUAGUGUAGUUACUCUCAAGUUGCAAUCUUGUACUCUGCUUAUAACAUAGCUUUUAUCUUCAUGCCCCUUUGUCAAGCACUUAAAGGUGUUUGUUUUAAUGCUUCAAUGAAUCUGAAAACAAAUAUUAAAAGCUGUAGCUUUUCACAGAUGAUAUUAGUAUCACCAUUGAGUUGCCCAUGUAAAAGGGUUGCUUGUCCUUUCUUUGCUAGUUUUUACAGUAGGAAAAUAUUCAUUACCCACAAGAGGAAAUUGGGUGUUACUCGUUUAGUUAGUCGGGGUGCGAAAUAUAGUCUUUCUGGUGAUUUGGAUGGUAAGGGCUUGUCUCAAGAGCCUGUUGCAUUUGGUACUUCUAACAUUACUGAUUUUAGAGAAGAUCCUAUAGUUGAUAAGCUCAGGACACAGUUAGGAGUUAUUCAUCCUAUUCCCUCUCCUCCGUUUAAUUCGAACAUUGUGGGGUUGUUUGUGUUCUUCUUCUUUGUUGGGGUUGUGUUUGAAAAGGUUUGGACUUUGAGGAAGAGGAGUAAGUCUGGGAGUGAGGGAGGGCCGGGUAUGUGGCCGCAAGUGCCCUCAAGCUUCUCUCUGUUUCUUGAAAAGGAUUUGCAAAGAAAAGAGUCGGUGGAAUGGGUGAAUAUGGUUUUGGGGAAGUUGUGGAAGGUUUAUAAGCCUGGGCUUGAGAAUUGGGUCAUUGGGUUGCUACAGCCAGUGAUUGAUAAUCUAAGGAAACCUGAUUACGUGGAGAGAGUUGAAAUUAAGCAGUUUUCGUUGGGAGAUGAGCCAUUCUUAGUUAGGAAUGUCGAGCGCAGAACCUCACGUGGUGUCAAUGAUCUCC